rnacentral:rRNA from 1 species
UACGAAGGGAGCUAGCGUUGUUCGGAAUUACUGGGCGUAAAGGGUGCGUAGGUGGCGCAAUAAGUCAGGUGUGAAAGCCCUGGGCUCAACCCGGGAAUUGCACUUGAUACUAUCGCGCUUGAAUUCGGGAGAGGUAAGCGGAAUUCCCAGUGUAGAGGUGAAAUUCGUAGAUAUUGGGAAGAACACCCGUGGCGAAGGCGGCUUACUGGACCGACAUUGACACUGAGGCACGAAAGUGUGGGGAGCAAACAGG